rnacentral:lncRNA from 1 species
GCUCUGUGUGGCUGCACAGUGAACACCCCGACGCUGGACGGCCGCACCAUCCCAAUGGUCUUUAAGGACGUUCUGAAACCCAGUGUCAAACAGCGCAUCCCUGGUGAGGGGCUCCCAUACCCUAAAAGCCCCGAGCAGCACAGAGAUCUCAUCAUUGAAUUGAGGUCAAAUUCCCUGACAGGAUCCCCCCGUCCUCCAAAACCAUCCUGGAGCAGAUCCUGCCUGUUUAGCAGCCAAUGGGACAGACUCUAUGGGGGGUUAUUUGGAGUUUUUCUUCCUUUUCUUAAUGGGGGUGGGGGUCCAGGUGGAUGCUUUGGGGGCCUGGGGUGGAGUGAGGCCUUGGGGGCGGUCCCAUUAACCCAAGAACAUAGGGGACCUCCUAGGGGACACCUAGAACCUCCUAGGGGACACUAGGACCUCCUAUGGGACACCUAGAACCUUUUAGGGGACCUUCUAGGACCUCCUAUGGAACACCUAGGGCCUCCUAGGGAACCUAGAACCUCCUAUGGGACACCUAGAACCUCCUAGGGGACACUAGGGCCUCCUAUGGGACACCUAGGGCCUCCUAGGGGACACCUAGGGCCUCCUAGGGAACCUAGAACCUCCUGUGGGACACCUAGAACCUCCUAGGGGACCCCUAGGACCUCCUGGGGGUCUCCAAUGCAUUGGGACCCGACGUGUCGUGUCCUUAUUGCUGCCUGCAGUGUCACCCACCAGCAUCUCCUUGGGGAGGGGGCGGUGCCGUGUCCUUGUCACCAUCCGAGGCUUCACCUUCUCUCCACCACCUCCAUUGGUUGAGGACCAAAGUGUAACCCCCUCCCCCCUCCCUUAUUGCCACUGCUGGGACCAAAGUGGGACAUCCCUGACCCUAAGGAGGGGGACAGGGAUGGGGUUGGGACCUCGUUACCUCCAGCUCUGCCUCCUGGGGACCAUGGGGUGAGCUCCACAACUGCUGAUGGGGGCCAAGAGACCACAGUGUCACCUCCAUAUCUGCUUAUGGGUGAUAAGAGACCACAGUGUCACCUCCUCAAGGCCAUCUCCAUCUAUUGGGACCACAGUGUCACCUCCAUAUCUGCUUAUGGGUGAUAAGAGACCACAGUGUCACCUCCUCAAGGCCAUCUCCCUCUAUUGGGAGCACAAUGUGACAUCCAUAUCUGCUUAUGGGGGACAUAGACCACAGUGUCACCUCCUCAAGACCAUCUCCAUCUAUUGGGUGCACAGUGUGACCCCCUGCCAACCAUCCAUGGGUGACCCAACAUCUUCUCGUUGCCGUCUCUGCUUGUGGGGUGACCCUAAUGUGUGUGUUCUGGAUGCUUUCCUCACCCUGACGUCCCCACACCAUCCUUGGGGGGCUCCCAUCCCCUCCCUAUGGGGUGGCACCAUAAAGGGGGAUGGGAAGGGGGGGGGGGAGGGGUGUCCUUUCACCCCCCUGUUGUGCUCCGGGUGUUCCCUUUUUAUCCUUUGGGAUAAAAACAACCAGAAAAAAAAGGUCUUGUUCCUGGAACAGGAGCGCGCACGCUGUACAGUUUUGGGUUGGUUUUUUUUUUGUAUAAAAAUUGCUGUAUAGUUGAGUGUAAUUAGUAAAAUUCAUUGAGGAAGGGAUGGCUGUGUGGGCUUUCUUUGUUUGGGGUGGGGGGGAGAAUAAAGCUUCAAGUCCUGGGGGUCCCCUUAAAACA